UCGCUGCCAAAACAAAGAAGGAGAGACCGUGAGAGAGGAAGAACAGGGUGGGGUGACUCAAAGACUCAGUCGGGGGAAAAAGUGUGGCGUGUUAUUACAGACAAAGCAUUUCAAUAAACAACAUGUUUUAUUUGGUGAUGGUUUGAGUCUUUUAACAUGCACCCAUUACUUUCCCAAUUAGCUGUGGCUUUCUCCACACGAACACACCGAAUGCCUUUCCGUCGGACCGCUUCCCUUUUUUGACAGUUUGGCAGCGAAGGACAUGCGGCGGCAUCUCGAGGCCAUUUGACUCGGCGAGCCGAUCAGGAUGCACUCGGAGAUGUGGUUGAACUCCACGUGACCGGCUUUGCUCGGGACGGCAAUGAGACGUGCCGAUGUGCUUUGGUACCAGAAGUGUCAAGGAUGCUUGACCGCAUACAACUGGAGGUCAAUUUCUGGGAGGAAAGAUCUUUCUGACUUCCAGGGAUGCAGCAAAUCGGAGUUUGGUAUGGAUGUGGUUGAUAUAGGCUUUUCAAGAACCCAAAGACGCUUACAGGGAACAAGGCAAAGACAUACAUGAGGGUGGGGGGGGGGACGUGGAGGCUUUAUUGACUAACGCGUUCUUUACAAUGAACACAAGGUAAAGAUUCAACCGAAGGACAACGGCUGAGAAAUAUCCCGUUUGCUUCGCUGAUCGACCAAACAAACGAGGCCCAUCGAGUGCAAAGACAUAAACCGCCCAGGUUUGUUUGUAAUUUAGGGUUAUUGGCAGCGGGUGAGUGUCGGUUGGCGGCGAUUGCGGCUAUACAUUACAGAGAUAUCAAAUGUAAUGUUGCAAUUUGAGUCGGGAGGACUCAGAAGCCAGAGGGGAUGGACGUGAGCGGGAUUGUGAUGCGGGGAGGCGUAGCCACAGAGGGACUGACGCACUCCACUGGGUGACUCACUUUGAAGAAUGAGUGGAGAGCGAGGCUCCCCCACACCAAAUGGCUCCCAGGUCCAAACAUGCGUACAAUUUGUCAGUGUGAUGGUCGCAAUGGAGUCGGUGCCUAACAGACAAGUUGGAAUGCACUGCACUCUGAAAAUGGAAUAAGAGUGCCAAGUUGUUGCGGAGGCCAAUUGAGGAGUGGUUGAUGGAUGAUGGUUAAUGAAAGAAGAAAUGCACCAAUACCGAGACUAGAAUCGCUACCGGUAUCAUGAAACUGGUGGCCAUAGCCAUGUCUGCUGCUUUAAGGCAAACAAGGACAGCAACACUUAGCUAUGAAUUAUGCUCUGCAAAAAAAACUAAAACAAUAAAGUC